rnacentral:rRNA from 1 species
ACCUCGGAUCAGGUAGGAAUACCCGCUGAACUUAAGCAUAUCAAUAAGCGGAGGAAAAGAAACCAACAGGGAUUGCCCUAGUAACGGCGAGUGAAGCGGCAACAGCUCAAAUUUGAAAUCUGGCUUCGGCCCGAGUUGUAAUUUGCAGAGGAUGUUUCUGGCGCGGUGCCUUCCGAGUUCCCUGGAACGGGACGCCACAGAGGGUGAGAGCCCCGUAUGGUUGGACACCAAGCCUGUGUGAAACUCCUUCAACGAGUCGAGUAGUUUGGGGAAUGCUGCUCUAAAUGGGAGGUAAAUCUCUUCUAAAGCUAAAUACCGGCCAGAGACCGAUAGCGCACAAGUAGAGUGAUCGAAAGAUGAAAAGCACCUUGAAAAGGGGGUUAAAUAGUACGUGAAAUUGUUGAAAGGGAAGCACUUAUGACCAGACUUGGGCCGGGCGGCUCAUCAGGGGUUCUCCCCUGUGCACUCCGCCCGGCACAGGCCAGCAUCGGUUUUCGCGGGGGGAUAAGACCGUCAGGAACGUGGCACCCUCCGGGGUGUGUUAUAGCCUGGCGGACGAUACCCCCGCGGGGA